GAAAAUAUUUUGCUCUUGAGGACUCUGACAGCUGGGACCACACCUGGUUGCCCCACUCAUCUGAUGGUGGGGCAGUAGUUCCAGUGACCAGAAAAAUUAAACCUCCAUUUACAUUCUGAGGGUGAGGCUAGAGGUACCCUCAGGAAAGGUACUGGACUGGGAGUCAGGAGACCGGGAUUUGAGGACUAGCCCUGCCCUGCCACUUACUAGCUGGGCGACCUUGGACAAGCCACUAGUCCCCUCUGGACCUCAACUUCCUUAUCUGUAAAACAAGCGGGUGGGCCGGGCGAUGUCUAAUCAGGUUCCGGUCAGCUCCAGGCUCCAGCAUGUGGAGAUCCUGUGUGUGGCAUCACUUAGCGCCGAGAAGUGCAGAAGUCACAGUUGCCCCUGCCCCUUCUCACCCUGGAUCCUCACCCAGGUGUCGCAUCAUGCCAGUCAGUCUGGCCGACUCCACCAGUUAGAUGGAGAUGGGAACCUGGGACCCAGAGAGAAAGGAUGCAGUUCCCUCCUGGCAUAGGCUCCCAGGCACAAAAAUAGCAUCUCGAGAAAUACCCACGGCUGAUGUGGAUUCGCACAAAGAGACACACAAGUGUACAGACCACAGCAAGGACCGUGCUGACGGGGCUCUGAGAUAGGGAGACAACAGAAAAAGACAAACGGUGAUGGAGAUGAAAACUGUUGAUUUGUGAGGGGCCUCCACAGAGGAAAGCAGGGAAGG